AUACGGAGGGUGCGAGCGUUAAUCGGAAUUACUGGGCGUAAAGGGUGCGUAGGUGGUAUGGUAAGUUAUCUGUGAAAUCCCUGGGCUCAACCUGGGCAGGUCAGAUAAUACUGCUGUACUCGAGUAUGGGAGAGGGUAGUGGAAUUUCCGGUGUAGCGGUGAAAUGCGUAGAGAUCGGAAGGAACACCAGUGGCGAAGGCGGCUACCGGGCCCAAUACGGACAC
rnacentral:rRNA from 1 species